rnacentral:rRNA from 1 species
GACGAACGCUGGCGGCAUGCCUAACACAUGCAAGUCGAACGGAGAAAGUUCAACAUAAAGCGUUCAAUCAUUCGAGAGCAGCGGUAAAAAUUUUCGCUUGCGAAAUUUUACUACGCGUUCCAAAGCAUACAACACAUGCAGCGAGGAAUCUUGAGUGCUUUAUGUUGAACUUUCUUAGUGGCGAACGGGUGAGUAACGCGUAGGCAACCUGCCCUUUAGUUGGGGACAACAUCCCGAAAGGGGUGCUAAUACCGAAUGUGACAGUUUUUCCGCAUGGGAUUACUGUGAAAGAUGGCCUCUAUUUAAUAAGCUAUCGCUAAAGGAUGGGCCUGCGUCUGAUUAGCUAGUUGGUGGGGUAACGGCCUACCAAGGCGACGAUCAGUAGCGGUCUGNGAGGAUGAACGGCCACAUUGGG